GCCAUCCCGGCGGUCAG
rnacentral:misc_RNA from 1 species